rnacentral:rRNA from 1 species
CCUACGGGAGACAGCAGUGAGGAAUAUUGGUCAAUGGACGAGAGUCUGAACCAGCCAAGUAGCGUGAAGGAUGACUGCCCUAUGGGUUGUAAACUUCUUUUAUAUGGGAAUAAAAUGUUCCACGUGUGGGCUUUUGUAUGUACCAUAUGAAUAAGGAUCGGCUAACUCCGUGCCAGCAGCCGCGGUAAUACGGAGGAUCCGAGCGUUAUCCGGAUUUAUUGGGUUUAAAGGGGGCGUAGGUGGAUUGUUAAGUCAGUUGUGAAAGUUUGCGGCUCAACCGUAAAAUUGCAGUUGAAACUGGCAGUCUUGAGUACAGUAGAGGUGGGCGGAAUUCGUGGUGUAGCGGUGAAAUGCUUAGAUAUCACGAAGAACUCCGAUUGCGAAGGCAGCUCACUGGACUGCAACUGACACGGAGGCUCGAAAGUGUGGGUAUCAAACAGGAUUAGAUACCCGAGUAGUC